GCACCUCAYAUCAGGCAAGAUUACCCGCUGAGUUUAAGCAUAUC
rnacentral:rRNA from 1 species